rnacentral:rRNA from 1 species
UGACGGGACCCGCACAAGCGGUGGAUGAUGUGGAUUAAUUCGAUGCAACGCGAAAACCUUACCUACCCUUGACAUGCCACUAACGAAGCAGAGAUGCAUUAGGUGCUCGAAAGAGAAAGUGGACACAGGUGCUGCAUGGCUGUCGUCAGCUCGUGUCGUGAGAUGUUGGGUUAAGUCCCGCAACGAGCGCAACCCUUGUCUCUAGUUGCUACGAAAGGGCACUCUAGAGAGACUGCCGGUGACAAACCGGAGGAAGGUGGGGAUGACGUCAAGUCCUCAUGGCCCUUACGGCCUGGGCUACACACGUGCUACAAUGGUCGGUACAAAGGGUUGCCAAGCCGCGAGGUGGAGCUAAUCCCAUAAAACCGAUCGUAGUCCGGAUCGCAGUCUGCAACUCGACUGCGUGAAGUCGGAAUCGCUAGUAAUCGUGAAUCAGAAUGUCACGGUGAAUACGUUCCCGGGCCUU